rnacentral:ncRNA from 1 species
UCUUAUCAAGAGUGGUGGAGGGACUGGCCCUUUGAAACCCGGCAACCGGUAAAGAUCACACGGUGCUAAUUCCAGCAGAGCAAUAGCUCUGAUAGAUGAGA